rnacentral:rRNA from 1 species
GACGAACGCUGGCGGCGUGCCUAAUACAUGCAAGUCGAACGCAGUGGGGACGGGUGAGUAACACGUGGGUAACCUCGCAUCAGAGGGGAUAACACUUGGAAACAGGUGCUAAACCGAUACUGAUGGAUGGACCCGCGGUGCAUUAGCUAGUUGGUGGGGUAACGGCUCACCAAGGCCACGAUGCCUAGCCGACCCGGGAGGGGGAACGGCCACACUGGGACCGGGACAAGGGCCAGACUCCUACGGGAGGCAGCAGUAGGGAAUCUUCGGCAAUGGACGGAAGUCUGACCGAGCAACGCCGCGUGAGUGAAGAAGGUUUUCGGAUCGUAAAGGUCUGUUGUUAGAGAAGCGGUAACUAACCAGAAAGGGACGGCUAACUACGUGCCAGCAGCCGCGGUAAUAC